ensembl:lncRNA
GGGCAGGGAGACAUCCACCCCCUCCCAGCGGUCCGGAAGCAGGAAGUCUCUGAGCUGAGAUCGCCCUGCCUUGCCUGGAGCUGAGAUCCCUCUGCCUUCUGGAAGCAGAACCGUGCUUGCAGGUCCCAGGGAGCCUGGAGCCAGAGGAAUGGGCCCUGGGAAUCUCAGACCUCCUCCUCAGAAUACCGUAUAUCACAGAGAACAGUGCUCCAUAGUAGAGAAAAUCACCUCCUGAUGUUGAAGGAUAAGACACCCUGACAACAUUUGGGGUCCCCAGGUUGGUGUUGCAGGUAAGAUAAAGGAAUUUGCAGACUCAGUCUCUAAGUUAAAUGGCAAAGG